CUACAUUCCAAAACAAAGCUCAAGAAUAUUUAAAGGAAUACAAACAUAUCAAGCACCCAACAAGGUAAAAUUCACAAUGUCUGGCA